CUCGUGAUGGCGCCCGUAAAAUUUACGAAGGGAUGAUUUCAACUUCACCAUUUGGAACUCUUGGUUUAAUAGCUUCCUUGUGAGCAGCAACCUUCUAUCAAGUAAAUCAUGAUAGGAAAUGCAAGCACGGGAAUAUCGUAUUAAUUGGCAGAUAUAUACCCCGUAUGCAGGUGCUGCUGGAAUGUUGCUACUUAGAAAUGGAAAGUUCACAAUUG
rnacentral:lncRNA from 1 species